rnacentral:rRNA from 1 species
CCAGCAGCUGCGGUAAUUCCAGCUCCAAGAGCGUAUAUUAAAGUUGUUGCAGUUAAAAAGCUCGUAGUUGGAUUUCUGGUAUAAUGCGCCUGGCCCGCCACGGUUACGUGUGUGAGUGCCGGUGCGCGUUUACCAUCCUUCUAGAAAACGUUUCUACCCUUCACUGGGCCGGACUCGCGAUCUAGAUCUUUUACUUUGAAAAAAUUAGAGUGUUUAAAGCAGGCUUUUGCUGUGAAUACAUUAGCAUGGAAUAAUAAUCUAGGACUUCGGUUCUAUUUUGUUGGUUUCUAUAACUGAAGUAAUGAUUGAUAGGGAUAGUUGGGGGUGCUAGUAUUGGCCGGCCAGAGGUGAAAUUCUUGGAUUCGGUCAAGACUAACUUAUGCGAAAGCAUUCACCAAGGAUGUCUUCUU